GAGGUUGUGGCUCAGUGGUAGAGCGCUUGCCUAGCACAUAUGAGGCACUGGGUUUGAUACCCAGAACCACA
rnacentral:tRNA from 1 species